AGAGUUUGAUCAUGGCUCAGAUUGAACGCUGGCGGCAGGCCUAACACAUGCAAGUCGAACGGUAACAGGAAGCAGCUUGCUGCUUUGCUGACGAGUGGCGGACGGGUGAGUAAUGUCUGGGAAACUGCCUGAUGGAGGGGGAUAACUACUGGAAACGGUAGCUAAUACCGCAUAACGUCGCAAGACCAAAGAGGGGGACCUUCGGGCCUCUUGCCAUCGGAUGUGCCCAGAUGGGAUUAGCUUGUUGGUGGGGUAACGGCUCACCAAGGCGACGAUCCCUAGCUGGUCUGAGAGGAUGACCAGCCACACUGGAACUGAGACACGGUCCAGACUCCUACGGGAGGCAGCAGUGGGGAAUAUUGCACAAUGGGCGCAAGCCUGAUGCAGCCAUGCCGCGUGUAUGAAGAAGGCCUUCGGGUUGUAAAGUACUUUCAGCGGGGAGGAAGGGAGUAAAGUUAAUACCUUUGCUCAUUGACGUUACCCGCAGAAGAAGCACCGGCUAACUCCGUGCCAGCAGCCGCGGUAAUACGGAGGGUGCAAGCGUUAAUCGGAAUUACUGGGCGUAAAGCGCACGCAGGCGGUUUGUUAAGUCAGAUGUGAAAUCCCCGGGCUCAACCUGGGAACUGCAUCUGAUACUGGCAAGCUUGAGUCUCGUAGAGGGGGGUAGAAUUCCAGGUGUAGCGGUGAAAUGCGUAGAGAUCUGGAGGAAUACCGGUGGCGAAGGCGGCCCCCUGGACGAAGACUGACGCUCAGGUGCGAAAGCGUGGGGAGCAAACAGGAUUAGAUACCCUGGUAGUCCACGCCGUAAACGAUGUCGACUUGGAGGUUGUGCCCUUGAGGCGUGGCUUCCGGAGCUAACGCGUUAAGUCGACCGCCUGGGGAGUACGGCCGCAAGGUUAAAACUCAAAUGAAUUGACGGGGGCCCGCACAAGCGGUGGAGCAUGUGGUUUAAUUCGAUGCAACGCGAAGAACCUUACCUGGUCUUGACAUCCACAGAACUUUCCAGAGAUGGAUUGGUGCCUUCGGGAACUGUGAGACAGGUGCUGCAUGGCUGUCGUCAGCUCGUGUUGUGAAAUGUUGGGUUAAGUCCCGCAACGAGCGCAACCCUUAUCCUUUGUUGCCAGCGGUCCGGCCGGGAACUCAAAGGAGACUGCCAGUGAUAAACUGGAGGAAGGUGGGGAUGACGUCAAGUCAUCAUGGCCCUUACGACCAGGGCUACACACGUGCUACAAUGGCGCAUACAAAGAGAAGCGACCUCGCGAGAGCAAGCGGACCUCAUAAAGUGCGUCGUAGUCCGGAUUGGAGUCUGCAACUCGACUCCAUGAAGUCGGAAUCGCUAGUAAUCGUGGAUCAGAAUGCCACGGUGAAUACGUUCCCGGGCCUUGUACACACCGCCCGUCACACCAUGGGAGUGGGUUGCAAAAGAAGUAGGUAGCUUAACCUUCGGGAGGGCGCUUACCACUUUGUGAUUCAUGACUGGGGUGAAGUCGUAACAAGGUAACCGUAGGGGAACCUGCGGUUGGAUCACUC
rnacentral:rRNA from 1 species